AUUGAACGCUGGCGGCAGGCCUAACACAUGCAAGUCGAGCGAGUCGGGGGCGGGUGAGUUAUGUCUGGGAAUGUGCGUGGUGGAGGGGGAUCACUACUGGAAGCUGUAGCUAAUACCGCAUACCAUCAGAUGUGCCGAGGUGGGAGUAGCUAGGGGGUGGGGUAACGGCUCACAAAGGCGACGAUCCCUAGCGGGUCUGAGAGGAUGAACAGUCACACUGGAACUGAGACACGGUCCAGACUCCUACGGGAGGCAGCAGUGGGGAAUAUUGCACAAUGGGCGAAAGCCUGAUGCAGCCAUGCCGCGUGUGUGAAGAAGGCCUUCGGGUUGUAAAGCACUUUCAGCGGGGAGGCGUUACCAGCAGAAGAAGCACCGGCUAACUCCGUGCCAGCAGCCGCGGUAAUAC
rnacentral:rRNA from 1 species